UUGGGGUUAGUGCUGGGGUUAGGGUUAGGGGUCAGCGCUAGGGUUAGGGUUAGGGGUAGCGCGAUGGUUAGGGUUAGGGCUAGAUGCCAGGCUGGGGUUAUCAUCAGCAGCCGCCCGGACUGCGAGUCGGCUGAUUUUUUGCAGGUCGGGACCCAGGAAACGCGGCGACAGUGGACGUGGCACUGGCUGGAUAGGUUAGGGAAAGAAUCCCGUCUCCCCUAAAUUGCCCUACUUGGGUCGGCGGGGAGCGGGGAAUGCACGGGCCUACGCCCCGUCGGACACGCUCCCCGGGUCCCGAAAGGCUGGCGGCUACUUCCGCCAGCUGAGCCAUAUUUGGCAUGAUGUGUGUUAUACUAUAAUCAAGUUCAUGUAGUCCUAUUUGACUUACUCACACACACAUAAUUCAUACAUACAUGAUCUAUAUUUGAUCUAUGUAUCUGUACAUUGUGCCUGCUGCGUCGACGUUUCGACCUAAUUUGGUCUUCUUCAGGACUGGGCACAUGUAACAGCUAAGGCUGCUGGGCCCCAAUUCAUAGGGGUGAACCAGCCAGCAGCCGAACAGAAAUGAAAAUGAAAAGCCCUACCCACUUUUCUCCCUUUUAUAUUCCCUCAGCUAAAAAUUAGAAUGAAUUUACUUAUAUUUAAGUUAUUUUCUGCUCUAUUUAGUUUUUACAAUCUUAACCCUUUAUGCACCUGUUUGUGCUUUAAAUCCGUAUUAAUUAUGUUUAUUCACAUAUUUGUGCUUUAAUAAACAUAUUAAUAGGUAUAUGGUCCUGCUUGACCUUUGACCUCUGUGGCCUGCUUGGCCGUCGGUCAUUAAGUUGCCUCUAAUGGUUAGGGUUAGGGCGAGUCCCAGGUUAGGGUUAGAAUCCCAUACUAGGGUUAGGGUUAGGGUUAGAUUCCCAGGUUAGGGUUAGUGCUGGGGUUAGGGUUAGGGGUCAGCGCUAGGGUUAGGGUUAGGGUCAGCGCGAUGGUUAGGGUUAGGGCUAGAUGCCAGGCUGGGGUUAUCAUCAGCAGCCGCCCGGACUGCGAGUCGGCUGAUUUUUUGCAGGUCGGGACCCAGGAAACGCGGCGACAGUGGACGUGGCACUGGCUGGAUAGGUUAGGGAAAGAAUCCCGUCUCCCCUAAAUUGCCCUACUUGGGUCGGCGGGGAGCGGGGAAUGCACGGGCCUACGCCCCGUCGGACACGCUCCCCGGGUCCCGAAAGGCUGGCGGCUACUUCCGCCAGCUGAGCCAUAUUUGGCAUGAUGUGUGUUAUACUAUAAUCAAGUUCAUGUAGUCCUAUUUGACUUACUCACACACACAUAAUUCAUACAUACAUGAUCUAUAUUUGAUCUAUGUAUCUGUACAUUGUGCCUGCUGCGUCGACGUUUCGACCUAAUUUGGUCUUCUUCAGGACUGGGCACAUGUAACAGCUAAGGCUGCUGGGCCCCAAUUCAUAGGGGUGAACCAGCCAGCAGCCGAACAGAAAUGAAAAUGAAAAGCCCUACCCACUUUUCUCCCUUUUAUAUUCCCUCAGCUAAAAAUUAGAAUGAAUUUACUUAUAUUUAAGUUAUUUUCUGCUCUAUUUAGUUUUUACAAUCUUAACCCUUUAUGCACCUGUUUGUGCUUUAAAUCCGUAUUAAUUAUGUUUAUUCACAUAUUUGUGCUUUAAUAAACAUAUUAAUAGGUAUAUGGUCCUGCUUGACCUUUGACCUCUGUGGCCUGCUUGGCCGUCGGUCAUUAAGUUGCCUCUAAUGGUUAGGGUUAGGGCGAGUCCCAGGUUAGGGUUAGAAUCCCAUACUAGGGUUAGGGUUAGGGUUAGAUUCCCAGGUUGGGGUUAGUGCUGGGGUUAGGGUUAGGGGUCAGCGCUAGGGUUAGGGUUAGGGUAGCGCGAUGGUUAGGGUUAGGGCUAGAUGCCAGGCUGGGGUUAUCAUCAGCAGCCGCCCGGCUGCGAGUCGGCUGAUUUUUUGCAGGUCGGGACCCAGGAAACGCGGCGACAGUGGACGUGGCACUGGCUGGAUAGGUUAGGGAAAGAAUCCCGUCUCCCCUAAAUUGCCCUACUUGGGUCGGCGGGGAGCGGGGAAUGCACGGGCCUACGCCCCGUCGGACACGCUCCCCGGGUCCCGAAAGGCUGGCGGCUACUUCCGCCAGCUGAGCCAUAUUUGGCAUGAUGUGUGUUAUACUAUAAUCAAGUUCAUGUAGUCCUAUUUGACUUACUCACACACACAUAAUUCAUACAUACAUGAUCUAUAUUUGAUCUAUGUAUCUGUACAUUGUGCCUGCUGCGUCGACGUUUCGACCUAAUUUGGUCUUCUUCAGGACUGGGCACAUGUAACAGCUAAGGCUGCUGGGCCCCAAUUCAUAGGGGUGAACCAGCCAGCAGCCGAACAGAAAUGAAAAUGAAAAGCCCUACCCACUUUUCUCCCUUUUAUAUUCCCUCAGCUAAAAAUUAGAAUGAAUUUACUUAUAUUUAAGUUAUUUUCUGCUCUAUUUAGUUUUUACAAUCUUAACCCUUUAUGCACCUGUUUGUGCUUUAAAUCCAUAUUAAUUAUGUUUAUUCACAUAUUUGUGCUUUAAUAAACAUAUUAAUAGGUAUAUGGUCCUGCUUGACCUUUGACCUCUGUGGCCUGCUUGGCCGUCGGUCAUUAAGUUGCCUCUAAUGGUUAGGGUUAGGGCGAGUCCCAGGUUAGGGUUAGAAUCCCAUACUAGGGUUAGGGUUAGGGUUAGAUUCCCAGGUUAGGGUUAGUGCUGGGGUUAGGGUUAGGGGUCAGCGCUAGGGUUAGGGUUAGGGUCAGCGCGAUGGUUAGGGUUAGGGCUAGAUGCCAGGCUGGGGUUAUCAUCAGCAGCCGCCCGGACUGCGAGUCGGCUGAUUUUUUGCAGGUCGGGACCCAGGAAACGCGGCGACAGUGGACGUGGCACUGGCUGGAUAGGUUAGGGAAAGAAUCCCGUCUCCCCUAAAUUGCCCUACUUGGGUCGGCGGGGAGCGGGGAAUGCACGGGCCUACGCCCCGUCGGACACGCUCCCCGGGUCCCGAAAGGCUGGCGGCUACUUCCGCCAGCUGAGCCAUAUUUGGCAUGAUGUGUGUUAUACUAUAAUCAAGUUCAUGUAGUCCUAUUUGACUUACUCACACACACAUAAUUCAUACAUACAUGAUCUAUAUUUGAUCUAUGUAUCUGUACAUUGUGCCUGCUGCGUCGACGUUUCGACCUAAUUUGGUCUUCUUCAGGACUGGGCACAUGUAACAGCUAAGGCUGCUGGGCCCCAAUUCAUAGGGGUGAACCAGCCAGCAGCCGAACAGAAAUGAAAAUGAAAAGCCCUACCCACUUUUCUCCCUUUUAUAUUCCCUCAGCUAAAAAUUAGAAUGAAUUUACUUAUAUUUAAGUUAUUUUCUGCUCUAUUUAGUUUUUACAAUCUUAACCCUUUAUGCACCUGUUUGUGCUUUAAAUCCGUAUUAAUUAUGUUUAUUCACAUAUUUGUGCUUUAAUAAACAUAUUAAUAGGUAUAUGGUCCUGCUUGACCUUUGACCUCUGUGGCCUGCUUGGCCGUCGGUCAUUAAGUUGCCUCUAAUGGUUAGGGUUAGGGCGAGUCCCAGGUUAGGGUUAGAAUCCCAUACUAGGGUUAGGGUUAGGGUUAGAUUCCCAGGUUAGGGUUAGUGCUGGGGUUAGGGUUAGGGGUCAGCGCUAGGGUUAGGGUUAGGGUCAGCGCAAUGGUUAGGGUUAGGGCUAGAUGCCAGGCUGGGGUUAUCAUCAGCAGCCGCCCGGACUGCGAGUCGGCUGAUUUUUUGCAGGUCGGGACCCAGGAAACGCGGCGACAGUGGACGUGGCACUGGCUGGAUAGGUUAGGGAAAGAAUCCCGUCUCCCCUAAAUUGCCCUACUUGGGUCGGCGGGGAGCGGGGAAUGCACGGGCCUACGCCCCGUCGGACACGCUCCCCGGGUCCCAAAAGGCUGGCGGCUACUUCCGCCAGCUGAGCCAUAUUUGGCAUGAUGUGUGUUAUACUAUAAUCAAGUUCAUGUAGUCCUAUUUGACUUACUCACACACACAUAAUUCAUACAUACAUGAUCUAUAUUUGAUCUAUGUAUCUGUACAUUGUGCCUGCUGCGUCGACGUUUCGACCUAAUUUGGUCUUCUUCAGGACUGGGCACAUGUAACAGCUAAGGCUGCUGGGCCCCAAUUCAUAGGGGUGGACCAGCCAGCAGCCAGAAAGAAAUGAAAAGCCCUACCAACUUGUCUCCCUUUUAUAUCCCCUCCGCCAAAAAUUAGACUGAAUUUACUUGUAUUUAAGUUAUUUUCUACUCUAUUUAGUUUUUGAAAUCUUAACCCUUUCUGCACCGCUUGUGCUUUAAAUCCAUAUUAAUUAUGUUUAUUCACAUAUUUGUGCUUUUAAUAAACAAAUUAAUAGGUAUUUUUGAUCCCAAUAUUAGGGUUAGGGUCCUGCUUGACCUUUGACCUCUGUGGCCUGCUUGGCCGUUGGUCAUUAAGUUGCCUCUAAUGGUUAGGGUUAGGGCGAGUCCCAGGUUAGGGUUAGAAUCCCAUACUAGGGUUAGGGUUAGGGUUAGAUUCCCAGGUUGGGGUUAGUGCUGGGGUUAGGGUUAGGGGUCAGCGCUAUGGUUAGGGUUAGGGUGAGCGCCAUGGUUAGGGUUAGGGCUAGAUGCCAGGCUGGGGUUAUCAUCAGCAGCCGCCCGGACUGCGAGUCGGCUGAUUUUUUGCAGGUCGGGACCCAGGAAACGCGGCGACAGUGGACGUGGCACUGGCUGGAUAGGUUGGGGAAAUAAUCCCGUCUCCCCUAAAUUGCCCUACUUGGGUCGGCGGGGAGCGGGGAAUGCACGGGCCUACGCCCCGUCGGACACGCUCCCCAGGUCCCGAAAGGCUGGCGGCUACUUCCGCCAGCUGAACCGUAUUUGGUCUGGUGUGUAUUAAUUUGUAAUGAAGUUCAUGUAGUCCUAUUUGACUUACUCACACAUACACAAUUCAUACAUGAUCUAUAUUUGAUCUAUGUAUCCCUACAAUGUGCCUGCU